AGCUUGCUAAGUAUGCCGGCGACCGGCGCACGGGUGAGUAACGCGUACCGAACCUGCCCAUCACACAGGGAUAGGCUUGCGAAAGCAAGAUUAAUACCUGAUGGUCUCAAUUUUAUGCAUGUAUGAUUGAGUAAAGCCUUCGGGCGGUGAUGGAUGGCGGUGCGUCCCAUUAGGAAGUUGGCGGGGUAACGGCCCACCAAUCCUUCGAUGGGUAGGGGUUCUGAGAGGAAGGUCCCCCACAUUGGAACUGAGAUACGGUCCAAACUCCUACGGGAGGCAGCAGUGAGGAAUAUUGGUCAAUGGGCGAGAGCCUGAACCAGCCAAGUAGCGUGCGGGAUGAAGGCCCUUGUGGUCGUAAACCGCUUUUAUCAGUGAAUAAAGUGCAUCACGUGUGGUGUCAUUGCAGGUAGCUGAAGAAAAAGGACCGGCUAAUUCCGUGCCAGCAGCCGCGGUAAUACGGAAGGUCCGGGCGUUAUCCGGAAUUAUUGGGUUUAAAGGGAGCGCAGGCGGGAGUAUAAGUCAGCUGUUAAAUAUCAGAGCCCAACUCUGUUAUGCAGUUGAAACUAUAUUUCUUGAGUACGCACAGGGAUGGCGGAAUUCAGGGUGUAGCGGUGAAAUGCUUAGAUAUCCUGAAGAACUCCGAUCGCGAAGGCAGCCAUCCGGAGCGUAACUGACGCUGAGG
rnacentral:rRNA from 1 species